rnacentral:rRNA from 1 species
CCCUUAGAUGUUCUGGGCCGCACGCGCGCUACAAUGAUGAAUUCAACGAGUUUAUAACCUUGGUUGAAAAGCCUGGGUAAUCUUUUGAACUUUCGUCGUGAUGGGGCUAGACCCUUGCAAUUAUUGGUCUCCAACGAGGAAUUCCUAGUAAACGCAAGUCAUCAGCUUGCAUUGAUUACGUCCCUGCCCUUUGUACACACCGCCCGUCGCACCUACCGAUUGAAUGGUCCGGUGAAAUCUUCGGAUUGAGACUUUGAUUUCUUCACGGAAAACGCUGUUUUAAAAAGUUGAUUAAACCUUACCAUUUAGAGGAAGUUGAAGUCGUAACA